rnacentral:rRNA from 1 species
AACGCUGGCGGUCUGCUUACAUNCGCAACGUCGAACGGAGGUAGAAAUACCUUAGUGGCGGACGGGUGAGUAACGCGUGAGAAUCUGCCAAAAGGACGGGGACAACAGGGGGAAACCGCUGCUAAAACCCGAUGUGCCGGAAGGUAAAAAAUCCCUUGCCUUUUGAUGAGCUCGCGUCAGAUUAGCUAGUUGGUGAGGUAAAGGCUCACCAAGGGCGACGAUCUGUAGCUGGUCUGAGAGGACGACCAGCCACACUGGGACUGAGACACGGCCCACACUCCUACGGGAGGCAGCAGUGGGGAAUUUUCCCCAAUUGGGCGAGAGCCUGACGGAGCCAACCCGUGGUGGGAC